rnacentral:siRNA from 1 species
AGGUCUAGAACACAGUGUCUGUGG